UACGUAGGGGGCAUGCGUUAUCCGGAAUUACUGGGUGUAAAGGGAGAGUAGGCGGCAAGGUAAGCGAUAUGUGAAAGCCUUAGGCUUAACCUGAGGAUUGCAUAACGAACUAUCUAGCUAGAGUACAGGAGAGGAAAGCGGAAUUCCUAGUGUAGCGGUGAAAUGCGUAGAUAUUAGGAAGAACACCAGUGGCGAAGGCGGCUUUCUGGACUGAAACUGACGCUGAGGCUCGAAAGCGUGGGGAGCGAACAGG
rnacentral:rRNA from 1 species